CAAACUCAGUGACAAUAGACACAAGAAUGCAUGCCAACAAGGUGACAGCCCAUGGGGGGAGGCUGCUCAGGGACAACAUCUGGUUCCCGAUCCAUGUAGAGAGGCCAGAGCUCUGCGGGAGGAAAAGGUGUUACAGUGUCUAGAGGAGACAAUGCCUGAUUCCUGGUCCAGUUCACUGCCUUCUCCUGGGAGCAGCAGCCCUCCCUGAACAGAGCCCUCCAGGCCUUAGACCACGGCCUUUGGAUCAACAGGAAAGCCUCAGUGAUUUGUUAGAAGGGUCCUGGGACUCACUUGCAGCCCAGGAACAGCCAGUGCAUCCAGAACCAGCUGACCACCAGCAUGAUGAUGGAUAUGGGGAAGCUGAAGAGGAACCAGGUGCCGAAGUUCACCACCUCUGCAGCUGGAUACUGGCUGGAGAGGAAAGAACCAGCCCCAGCCUGGCAACAGUCCUCUCAGACCUGGCUAAUCCUGGUGACAACCUGUAGGGCCAAACAGGUUGCUGAGCUCUGGAUUCUGGUGUGGGCUGAAGAAGCAAAUGUCCCUGCCCCCUCCAUGCCUGGCCACUGUAACUGGUUCUUCAUGAGACUAGGAGGUAUCUGGUGCAAAUGUCGGAAGCAGCCGCCACGCAGAUGACGCCCACCAGCAGCAGCGUGGUGUUCUUAAAGUACUCGGCUGCCACCUGUGGGGAGGCCAGCAUAGCUCACCCACCCCUCCCGGACCCAGGGCCGGCCCAUGCCCGGUAAAACUUGUCCUCAAAGAGGCUGGCAAAGAAGAGUAGGGAGGCGAAAAUUAUUAAAGUAGCUGAUCAUUUUAGAAUACCAUGGAGUGCCUACUGUGGGCGGGCACCGUACUAUGCAUUUUAUACAGAUUAUUUUAUUUAAAUCAGCCAGUAACCCCAUAAGUAGAUAUGCUUUUUAAAACAUAAACUCACUAUAUUUAAGUCUGAUAUAUCAUUUGAAAGAACAGAUACAUAUCAUUUUAUACUAGUUUUUAAAGAUUAUUAGACUUUGUUUUUAGAACAAAAUUAUUAGAAUUUGGUGCUAAUAUUUUUCGAACAUUAAAAAUUUAAUGUUUUUAGAAAUUAAAAAAAAUUAUUUUUAUUUCUACUAAAAAUGUAACAUAUGCUCAGUAUGGAAAACUUAAAAAUAUAGAAAAUUUUGAAGAUGAAGUUACUCCUAAUCCUACCACUAUUAAUUCUUUGGCAUAUUUCUUUCAAUUCCUUUUUUAACAUUUCUAUAUAGAUACAUAAGUGAGUUUAUAGAAUAUAUAUAUGGUUUUAUAGCUUGCCUUUUUUCCAUUUCAUAUCAUACCCUGAUCAUUAUCUUAUGAGGCUUAAAUUAUUGGAAAAAUUCAUUUUAAUGGCAGCAUAAUGUACCAUUCUGUGUCAAAUUAAUUUUAAUGGCAACAUGAUGCACCAUAGAAUAUGUUCAGCCACUUGCCUGUAAUUGAAUAUUUAGUUUGUCUUCUUUUUUCCUUUUUGCUACUACAAAUAAAGCAAAGAAUAUUUUUCUGCAUAAAUCAUUAUUCUUAUAUAAAUGCAGUUAUUUUAUUAUGAUAGAAUUCUUGAAGAUAUUUUUAUAACUUAAAUCUUUAAACAUUUUUUAAUAUAAAUAAUUCUAAUAAUUUCUUUCUUUUUUUUUUUUUUUUGGUUUUUGGCCGGGGCUGGGUUUGAACCCACCACCUCCGGCAUAUGGGACCAGCGCCCUACUCCUUGAGCCACAGGCGCCUCCCAUAAUUCUAAUAAUUUCAAAGUUCCAGAGAACUCCCAAAAUGCAAGUAGUACACAGAAUACCCUUACACUAUCUGUCGAGAUUUUUUUCUGAAUCAUUUCAGGGUAAGUUACACACAUUUUGGUUCUUUACUCUUAGAUACAUCAAUGUAUAUUUUCUAAGAAUAGGGAUUUUCUUUUCCAUAACCACAGCACCAGUUAUAAACUUUCUACUUUUUAAUGAUGAGGAAAUUGAGAGAGAGGCCAGUUAAAAAGAUAUUUCAUAUAUUCGAGUUGCAUGGACCAAACCCUCCUGUGGAUUCCCUCACUUGGAAAGUUCUCUUUUUCCAUCUCUCCCUGUAUAUUCCGAUCACAUGUCAAAGCCCAAUUCAGGCCUGGUGCCCUCCAGAAAACCUUUGUGGCUAUAGCCUCUGAUUCCAGAACAUUCCCUGUGGGCACUAUUAAUUCCACAUACCACAGAGCACUUGAGGCAAUGACUGAAUUGCCUCUCAACUAAAUUUUAGGCUGUUAAUGUUUCCCUUCUGUAUUUCUUAACACCUAGUAGAAUAAUAGUAUGUAGUAAUAAUGUUAGUAUUAUAGCAAAAGUAGAUGCUCAAUAAAUAUUCAUCAUAUACAUGAGAAUUACUGCCAACUGGAGGAACCAUGACAGAAAUGGAGAGGAAAAGAUACAGAAAAGUUUAACUUUGAAUUGAAAAACUUUUUUUUUUUUUUGAGACAAGAGUCUCACUAUGUUGCCCUCGGUAGAGUGCUGUGGCAUCAUAGCUCAUAGCAGCCUCAAACUCUUGGGCUUAGGCCAUUCUCUUGCCUCAGCCUCCCAAGUAGCUGGGACUACAGGUGCCUGCCACAAUGCCCACCUAUUUUUUUGUUGCAGUUGUCAAUGUUGUUUAAGCUGGCCCAGGGUUUGAACCCGCCAGCCUGGGUAUAUGUGGCUGGUGCCCUACCGAUUGAGCUACAGGCACCACCCUGAAAAACUAUUUUAAAGUGAUAAAAUAAGGACAUCUGAAAUUCAGAAAAAAACAAAAAUUGAACACAGGAAAUUUAAAUACAGUAAAAUACAUGGUGUUUGAAUUAAACAGUAUUUACAUAAUUAUACUAAUGUUAAACUUUGAUUAUGGUAUUAAUAAAAAUUGUGAUCAAACUAUAUUGAGAGGGUGGAGGAAGGAUAAGUAGGGAAUGGAAAAGGAACAAAAUCUUCAUCUGCUGUAAAAGGAAAUCAACUGGUGACAUCUAAAAAUGAGAACUCAAGAACUAAUAUAAGAAUAUCAUACAGGAGGCCAGGCGUGGUGGCUCCUAUAGUCCUAGUACUCUGGGAGACUGAAGUGGGAAGACUGCUUGAGGUCAGGAGUUCAAGACCAGCCUGAGCAAGAAUGAGAUCUCCCCCCUCAUCUCUACAAAAGAUAAAAAAAAAAAAAAUAGCCAACUAAGGUUGGGAGGCUGAGGCAGGAGGAUCACUUGAGUCCAGGAGUUUGAGGUUGCAGUGAGCUAUGACGACACCACUGUAAUCUAGCCCAGUGAUGGGCGACAAACAAAUGUCUCAAAACAAAACAAAAAACCGUAAGAAUAUGGAACUUAAUACCAGAAGAAACAGUUAGCAAAGUUAAGAGUUAUGGACUGAGGGAGGGGUGGGCCUCGGUGGGGGCGGGGCAGUGCAGGUUUCCACUGUAGGCUUUGCAGUAUUACGGCAUUCAAUUGCUAAACUUUGUGCAUGUAACACUUUGCUAACAUGGAAACCAAAAUAAAGGCAACCUGUUUCAUUUCUCCCUUUUCUCUUUUGCCCCAUAGAAAUUUCAGUGUAUCUGAUGAUGGAAGAGAAACACCUGCUCUGUGGGACCAUGUCUCUCUGCCUCUGGUUAACCUCCUUCAUCGCAGGGCUUGGGGUCUCCCAUCUUUCUCAGGCUUGUUACCUACACAGGCUUCCAGGAGGUAACUCUGGAGAACAACUGGGGCUUUAUUUUCCUCUGUCUACUGCAGAGGGAAACCCACAGAAGACACAAGACAUGGAAGUUCCAGGUGACGGUCCCUCCACAGGCCCCAUGACACACAGGCCUCUGUGCAGCUAUCAAAGAGUCAGUGCUACCAGGGUCACUUGCCCAGGAGAAUCACGGACAACAUGUCAGUUUUCUGCCUCUUUGGCACAUGCCUUUCUAGAACCAGUUUGUCUGUAAUGGCCUUUUAGGAGGCUCAGUGCCUAGACGACAGGUGGGCUACUUUCUCUAGGUUCUGCUCACAGGGAGGGGAAGGCAGCCAGCAGGUAGACAGAGCCUUGCCUGGGCGAGGCAUUUCACAUUUCGAAUUCAUUUUCUCAUUUGAGCUCCACAACGGUCUUACAAGGCAGGUACUAGUAGUGUCUUAUUUUACAGAUCAGGAAACUCAGAGAGACUAAGGAACAUUCCCAAGGUCACUGUGGGGCACAGGCAGGAUACUAGUCCAGGUCCAUCUAAUCUAGAGCCUACUAGACGACGUGCCACCAUCAUCUGAUUCGGCUCCAGGGGCAUUUUCUGGGUCUUGCAGACAGCACGGCUGGCACUCAUUUCUCAUCUUCAUUCAUGCUCACAGUCCGCCCUGGCCCUAAAGACCAAGGCCUCAGUGGGAUGGUGGCUCUGCACUGUCUCCUCACUGGGUGUUGGGGGUCUUCAGUCUACUCACACACCUUCCUGCCCCCUUGUAAAUGGUGCCAUGUGCUUGAGAGACACAGCUGGGGCUCAGGAUGGAUCUGUGAUGACAGAGGUAGCACAGUCAAGUGGGGAAGAGUGAGGACUCUGGAGUCAGUCAGGACUCAGCUGUGUGACUCUAGGCAAGUUAUUCAACCUCUCUGGGCUUCAUUUUCUCAUUAAAAAAAAAAAAUGAAGGUUAUGUGAGUUCCUCACCUUGUAGGGUGGUUGCUAAGAUUAAACGACACAUGCAAACCAGCUUUGGUGGCCAGGACUCUGGUGACGCUUCCUGUUACUAAAUGCUCCAGACAAAGGCUGGCCUGGUGGGAGACCAGGAGCACACAGAGUGGGCCCAGGAACACAGCAAAGCUGCAGGGCUGCUUCUUAUUUUUGUAAAGUCUAAUCCCAUUCACUGGUGGUGUUUGUUAGCUUUCUAGCCCAUUGAUUUUUCUUUCACAGGAACAGCUUGGUUGUGCAGGACCCCUUAGGGACCACCAGAGUUUCAGGAUUCUUGGGGGCUAUUUAAAUCGUUUUCUAGAAUGUGUUGCUUACUUCCUGCCUUAGUCACUAGAGCCCAUGCACUCUCCUGCCUCUAGUCAGAACUGUGCCCCCUCUCCCAGCUGCCCCCUCAUCGCUCUGGCACUAGGCUAGUUGUCCCGACUGCUGGCCCUUCUUUGGUCUCAGGUCUGCAUUUUAAAGUUUUUCUGUCUCAUUCUGAGGCUGUUGCAGCCUCCCGUUGUGAGCCCCCUUGCCGCUAGCAUUCCUUUCCCCACUUUGUAAUUUCCCAGACUAAUACUCUGUGAAUAUGGAAACCAGACAGAUGAAGCUUGUUUGAGUUAUUUGAAAAAAGAAAUUAGAUGCCAAAAAGGCACUUCUCCCAGGAGUAAAGUGCAUGGACUUUGUGACAUUUGUGCUGGUGGUUUGAUCACUUUUUCUGCUUGGUGGUUUUCCUCAGUAUGCCGAAUCACCAGACUUGGAGAACAGAGGUGUUUCUGGACUGUGUUCUAGACAAGAAGGGCUCAAAAGGAGGUCGCCCUGGAAAGAGGGCGGCAGUGACAAGCCUGGGCUCUGGGGUUCAGAUGAUGUGGUCCCGAGUCAGGGUCCCCCACAGAUGAGAUUGUUUGCUGCUGGAUAAGCUAACGAAUCUCUGUAGCCCUGUCACUUCAACUUGUUAAGUGGCAAUGGUGAUGCCGCAUAGCUCGGGUGAUUGCUGUGACGUGGGCCUCGGGUAAGAUAAUGCAGGCGGCUCUCAGGAUGGUACCCGGUGCAUCUGAUGUGUUCAGUAAAUGUUAUUAUCAUUAAAGAGAUAAAAAGACAUUAAAGGUUCAGGCUGAACGUGAGGGUUGGGAUCAGCAAGGCCUGCAAGAGCAAGUGAAGGGACCAGAGAAAAGAAAUGACCUAAGAAGGAACAAGACUGACCUCAAAGACGAAGACGCCACCGAGUUUUCUUAAGUGAAGGGUGACGGCAUCAAAGGGGCUUUCUGACCGGGCUGGACUGGGCAGCAAGGAGAGAAACUGGUCGCCCGUAGGUGAAUGAAUUGCAGGUGGUGUCAGUUAGGGCCGAGCUUUAAAGAACAUUACUUUCUCUGCACCAGAAUUAUUUAUUGCUCUCUAGUAUGUUACGUUCUUUUUUAAAUUUUAAUUAAGGUUUUUAAAAAGUUCGGGGAGCUUGUGGCUGUUUUAGAAGUUUGAGAAGAAGGGAAGUCUGGUGUUAACCUCAGCUCACAGUUUUCCUAAGAAUACUUGAUCCUCCUCCGGAGUGUCCCCACAGGAGGGAAAUGGAGCUGGACCAGCCAUGCGCUCCUCCCUGCCUCUAAGCCAGGCCCCGGACAGGCCCUGGCUACAGGGAACAGUCUAAAACCCCCCAAAUCCCCAGAAUAACAGAAAGGUGGGCUUUCCUGUUACUCUCAUUUUUCAGAUGAGUCAAUGGCAGUUAGGAGAGGUUAUAUAACCUGCUCAAGACUAGUCAGUGUCAGAAAAAGGAAAAUUCGGGCGGUGCCUGGGGCUCAGUGAGUAGGGCGCCAGCCCCAUAUACCGAGGGUGGUGGGUUCAAACCCAGCCCCGGCCAAACUGUAACAAAAAAAUAUCCGGGCGUCAUGGUGGCACCCAGCUACUCGGGAGGCUGAGGCAAGAGAAUCGCCUAAGCCCAAGGAUUUGGAGGUUGCUGUGACAGCACAGCACUCUACUGAGGGUUAAUAAGUGAAACUCUGUCUCAAAAAAAAAAAAAAUUAAUUAAUUAAAAAAAAGGAAAAUUCAGGGCGGUGCCUGUGGCUCAGUAGGUAAGGCGCCGGCCCCAUAUACCGAGGGUGGCGGGUUCAAACCCAGCCCUGGCUGAACUGCAACCAAAAAAUAGCUGGGCGUUGUGGCGGGCGCCUGUAGUCCCAGCUACUCGGGAGGCUGAGGCAAGAGAAUCGCUUAAGCCCAGGAGUUGGAGGUUGCUGUGAGCUGUGUGAUGCCAUGGCACUCUACUGAGGGCCAUAAAGUGAGACUCUAUCUCUACCAAAAAAAAAAAAAAAAGGAAAAUUCAAAAGAAAAAUUUAGCAAUGACCCACGAAGGCUGCAAUGGGGCACAAGGAUUGAACCCAGGCCUAGCAACUAACCCUCACCUCUUGCUGCCUGAGUAACUGGAAUUUGUUACCAUUUCACUGGUAGAUACUGGUUAUAAACCUGCUUGUCAGAUACAGAACAUGGACAGGAUGGAAUAGCCCCCUCCAUCGACCCCCACCAGACCCUAUGACGACCUCGUCUUUUGUGUGGGUCCCUGAGCGCCACUCAGGAUCACGAGAAUGGACCUGCUGCUUCUCUAGCCACGCCUCCCACCUGCGUGCCACACAGAUCCAGUUAGAUGUCUCACUUCAGGACGCCUUCUCAUCUCCACUGCGUCUGCAGGCAUACAUCCUCGAACUCGGCU